ACUCAAAGGAAUUGACGGGGGCCCGCACAAGCAGCGGAGCAUGUUGUUUAAUUCGAAGCAACGCGAAGAACCUUACCAGGGCUUGACAUCCACUGAACCUGCCGGAAACGGUGGGGUGCCGCAAGGAACAGUGAGACAGGUGGUGCAUGGUUGUCGUCAGCUCGUGUCGUGAGAUGUUGGGUUAAGUCCCGCAACGAGCGCAACCCUUACGGUCAGUUACCAGCGCGUUAUGGCGGGGACUCUGACGGGACAGCCGGGGUAACUCGGAGGAAGGUGGGGACGACGUCAAAUCAUCAUGCUCCUUAUGUCCUGGGCUACAAACGUGCUACAAUGGCCGCAACAAAAGGCAGCAAGGGCGCAAGCCGGAGCCAAACCAUGAAAUGCGGUCCCAGUUCAGAUUGAGGGCUGCAACCCGCCCUCAUGAAGAUGGAGUUGCUAGUAAUCGCGAAUCAGCACGUCGCGGUGAAUACGUUCCCGGGCCUUGUACACACCGCCCGU
rnacentral:rRNA from 1 species